UAUAUGAAGUGCGCAAACGCAGGAGAAACGCGAGGAGAAACAGAACGUCUGCCAAUAUUUUUUCUCUCUUUAGAUUCUUUCCGAACGCAUUGGACUGAAAGUCACUUGGUCUAUUUAUAUUGCAUCUAUGGUAUUGAAGGCUUGUGAACAUGCUGCAUGCUUUCCAGUUUCCAGUUCGGUACAGUUUGGUGUUAUGGUGAAGUGUAUUGAACAACAAAUGACAAAUAUGAAGAAAUGUUGUAAAAUAGUAUAAGGCCCGGUUAUUUUAAUUUCUUGGUAAACUUAUCUAUUAGAUAAACAUGUCUAUCUUUAUUUCUCCCUGAGUAAAUAAUGACAAAUAAUAGAUGCCUGUCCGGUAAAGUUUCCCAAUAAACUGGAGCAAUUGGACCUAAGUGUUAGAUUAUGUUAUGACUUAUUAUACAAUUGUGUUUAAUUAUCUUGAUUAUGUGCCUAUAAAAAUAUGCCUUUCAAAGCAUAACUUUUGAUGCAACUUAAACAUGAAGUAGUCGAGGAAAUUCUGUUCUAAGUGAUUGUUCUAAUUUAAGUGUUACUAUUUAUGCAUUCUUUAAAUACUAAAAGAUCGCAAGAUAUGUCAUAUAUAAACAAACGAAAAGGUGGAUAGUGUCUUAUGGAAAUUGCUAUAUUAAGUGAUUCACAAACGCGUAUUCCGUCAAGCGGACAUGUGAUGAAAGUAAACCGAUUGUGUGACGGAAUGCCGUUCUAUAAUAUGGACUAACAGAAAAAUGAACAUACAUAGAAGGGAACAUCUAUUUAAUAAUUCGAAAAGUAUUAAAAACUUCAAGAAAUGGUUACUUAUGCGAGUCAGACUCUAUCUCAAAUUUGGGCAUUGUUUCAACCAUAUUAUUAAUUAUCCUAUUAAAAAAUUCUGAAAUGAUAUUAAAAGUUACGCAUAUUGACGAAAAGAAGAAAUAAAAUUAGAAAGUAUGAAAGUAUAAUUAGAAAAAUAUGAAUGUAAACGAAAAAAAGAAACAAUGAUAGAUUCAUAAAAGGAAAUUAUAGGAUAAUAUGGCAGUCGUGGAAAAUAAAAUUAUUGGGCCAACCGGUCUGAUACGAUAAAAAUAUCUUAACAAACAUCUUCAUCGUUAUUGUCAGUGACAUCAAAAUCGUCAUCGCUGUCGUUAUUGUCCUGGAAUUGUCAGAUCUACGCAACACGACGCAAUCUCUAUGUAUCAGCGAUUAUCAUUUUGUUGACUUACGUCGAAGUAAGGCAGUACACUAUCCAAAUUUGAAUGUUUGUUUGAUGAAUGAAUUAUAUUCAGAAUAUGAUCGAGUGAUCUGUCAAACGAUUUAUUUUGAAUUAAGCAGUUAAGUAGUUAAUUUCAUAAUCAUUAUCCGCAAUUGCAUCAGUAGCAACGUUUCUGUGAUAUGGCUGCCACAGCCAAACAUGAUUUACGUCGUAAGUUUUCUGCGGAUGCGUCCGCUUCUGGCGAGGAAGAUAUUGCCGCGAUUGCCAAACAGAUCAGCGAUCAUGCAGAGGCGAUUUAUCAAACGUGGAAAAGUCGCGGAUUAGCACCGACGGAGAUUCUAACUUGUCACAACAAUACAACUGCUGUUGACAAAUUUGGUAGUGCAUUGACACCUUCCAAUUUGUCUGCUCUCGGAAAUACCGUGACUGGAAAUAAAAUUGACGGCAAGACGUCGCCGUCGUUGUUGCCAUCACUCGAACAUUCUUCCCCAACGACAGUAAAUAUAUUAACUCAAACGCCUAAUCUGGACAAUGGCAAUCUUGAAAAAUUAGUCAACAAUUUUGUAGUAGAAGAUAAAGCUAGAAUAGCUGCUUCUAAACAAAAAUCACCAUCUAAGCCGUUACCGUCUUCCAUACAAUUUGUUCUACAAAAAUUUGAGAAAAACUCUAUGCAACAGCAGCAACAAACUACUGCAAAGAAUAAAGUAGUUCCCGAUAAUUCGAAAAAAUUGACAAGUGUCUUAUCAUCUACUUCAUCGUUUUUGAAUAAACCAUCACAAAUAAUAAAACCUCAAGUUCCUGCGAAGAUGCCCUCUUCUCAUCACUGUGAAGUCUUUCUGGAAACUAUUGAAACUACUUUUCCAAUCAACUUGAUAUCUUCCAAUAGCGUUACGCAGCAAAAAAGGCCCAUUAGUACGUUUAUGGCAUCAUCACCCAUUGAUUCUUUGUCAAAUAUUAACUUAUCGCCCUCGUCCAAUUCUGGUUUAACAACUUGGCCAUUGAAAAAUAAAUUAAACGACUCUAAAAAAAUCGCAGAUGUAUCUCGCAUAUCAGCUAAAACACUUCAGCAAAAAGAUAUUACGAAAACAUUGUUAGUGCAAGAUCAAAAGAGAUCAGUUGUGACCGACGUAAACUCGCGCUGUAUGUAUCUUGAUGAAGUUGCACGAGAAGAAGAAAGACUAAUAAAUGCUUUAAAAACAGGUGCUGUAAUUUCUGAAGAAUUAGAGGAAACAAUGGAGGCGUGUUUGUGCAAUAGACAGAAACCGACUAUUAAGCAAGAAAAAUUAAAAAUUGAACCAGUCAAACAAGUUAUUAGUAAAAGCCAUAAUUAUUAUGGAAAUAGUUCUACAAUAUCUAACUCAGAAACUUCUAAUUCUAUGACAAACGUAAUUAAUGCUAGCAAUCCCACCGCUGUUACUGAUCAUAAUGCGAAAUCACUCAGUAAGGAUGAUUUGUCCGCUAUGUCAGCAGUUGACUAUGCUAAGGUUAGAUAUCAGGCUGCUCAACAGAACCCACCUACUCAGCAGCGACUUGAGGAACAGCGAGCUUCUAAUAAUUUAUACAAUUCCACCACAGAACAAUUGGUUUCUAGUACGCGAACAAAAUUUGAAAUGGAGAUACGACAGAAUAAAAACACUAAGGAUUCGGACAAAGAUUCAGUAACAUCAAGGUGGGGACCAAGAAUUGCUUCCUCACGACCGCGACUAGAACAGACUGUGCCUCAUCCAGAAUUGACUAAUCAACAAAAGCAGCACAUAAGAACAGCCGUGGUAACAGGUACGGGUAGUAAUCCCGUCAGACCCUUCCUUACUAGAGGCUCCGUGGCAGAACGUGUACUCAUUUUCGAAAAAUGUCCGAGCGAGCUGCUGUUAGACAAACGUUGUUUACGACCACCGACGAUUAAUACAUGGAGGGAUGGCCAUGAGGUGCAAAAUAAAGCUCAGACUUAUUCGAAAGAGAAAACACAGCAGAAAAGUUUGCCAUUGCAUACAACUUUACAAAGGCAGGUGAAAGCUAAUAGAAAUGUUCAUAUACCGAGAUUUUAUUUUCCAGGAGGGAAACCGCUGCCUGUUUCACAAUUAGAAACAAUUGUUUCAAAUAUUACUGUGGCUUUUCAAAGUUUACCGAGUUGUUGUGUUUCUCGUGCACAAUUUCAUAUUAUCACGAAGGCUUGCGACUUACCCUUGUAUUGGAAAAUACCACUUUUUCUGGCAGCAGGCGGUGAUCAAAAAGGAUUUGUCGAGAUGAAUGUUUUUCUAGAGUUUUGGAAAGAAUUAACAGCUACCCAUUACGAUGCAGCUAGUAAAUUCAUCAAUAUUCUUACUCGGGGUCUUCGAGACAAUAUACUUCCGGAAGACUUAAUUCCACUCGUACAGGAUGUUGUAGAAACGCAUCCAGGAUUGACAUUUUUAAAAGAAGCCACAGAAUUUCAUUCACGUUAUGUACACACGGUGAUUGCUAGAGUAUUUUAUUGCGUGAAUCGAAGUUGGAGUGGUAAAAUUUCAAUUGCCGAAUUAAGAAGAAGUAAUUUAUUGGCAAUAAUUGCUAUGCUCGAACACGAGGAAGACAUUAAUCAAAUCACAGCGUACUUCAGCUAUGAACAUUUUUAUGUGAUAUACUGCAAGUUUUGGGAAUUAGAUCGUGACCAUGAUCUUUUUAUAGAUAAAGAAGACUUAAUGAGACAUAAUGAUCAUGCAUUAUCUACUCGAAUGAUUGAAAGAAUAUUUAGCGGUGCCGUGACAAGAGGAAGUCGAGCAAAAAAUAAUAACAAUGUACAACAGCUGGAAGACAAGAUGAGUUACACGGAAUUUGUAUGGUUUCUUCUUAGCGAAGAAGACAAGAAUCAUCCAACUGCUAUUGAAUAUUGGUUUAGGUGUAUGGAUCUUGAUGGCGAUGGUUAUUUAUCAAUGUAUGAACUAGAAUACUUCUAUGAAGAGCAAUUACGUCGAAUGGAAGCGAUUGGUCUGGAAACAUUGCCUUUCGAGGAUUGUCUUUGUCAGAUGUUAGAUAUGAUUCAUCCAAUGAUAUCUGGCAAGAUAUCGUUAAAUGAUUUAAAAAAAUGCAAAAUGACAUCUAUCUUCUUUGAUACUUUCUUUAAUCUGGAAAAAUAUCUGGAUCAUGAACAAAGAGAUCCAUUUGCUUCAGCAAGAGAUCACGAUGCUGAUGGUCACGAACUCUCGGAUUGGGAUCGAUUUGCAGCAGAAGAAUAUGAAUUAUUAGUUGCUGAAGAAAGUGGCAAUGAACAACAAGAGCAAAUGUUGCAUAAUGUUACAUCAUGGAAAUUAUCGUCAAAUGGAGAUAUUUUAUUAGACAACUCGAUGAAUAUGACUAAAGAUGGAAAUUCAUUUAUGAAUUUAUUGGAUAUUUAUAUACAACAGUCAGACCAUCGUGACAGCGACGAUACCGAUAUUGAUGAUUAUGCUGACAGCGAUAAUUAACUUAUCGAUAAAUAUAUUCGAUAUUGGAAGAAAAGGAUAAGUUGCAGCAAAAGGAAUGCAUAAAAAUUAUUAUUCAAUAAUAAGUUUGCUUUCGUUCUCUUUUGUCACAAACACGGAAUGCUACAAUACAUCGUAUACACUUCAGAACAAGCAGUUUCACAAUCGGAUCUUCUCUAUUCGAAUUAAAUAAUUGUCUUCUAUUAACUGCUAUUAUCACCUUGAAAAGAAGACAUCUUUCUUAAUAUCUUAAUAACUGUUAUAUAUAAAUGCAAGACGUUUUAAGAUAUUUCUGCAUAUGAACAAGAACAAUCUAUGUCUGAAAAAGAGUGACGCUCAUAUUAGAUUGAUUGGAUAUUGCGCGCUUUCUUCAUGAAUUUGCACCUGAUGAUCACUUUGCUAUAGGCUAUAUGACAUAGUAAUGUGUCAUCGAUGCCACUGAAAUUGGAUACAUUUAAAGCCGUUAUGACCAGAAUUGACAGUGGAAUAAAAAUUCUAUUGAGCCAAGGUAUAUGCAUACUCGACAGAGUCAUCCGUGUAAACGAGUUGGCAGUUGUGUGUACGUCGUGACGAUGGUGUAAGAAUACUAGAUUUAAUUAAUUAUUUGAUCAAAAUUAUUAUUUUUCUGAGAACAUUCCAUAAUAAAAUAUUAGAUGGCGUUUGUGUAUUAUAACAGUUGCCUUACAAGGAACAUUGUUCCGCUCAUAUAUAUAAUACUAUUAUAUUGCUAACGCUUAUCUCUCCCAAUAAACGGGGCUCCGAGAAAGUGAGACAAAAAUAUAGUAUAUAUAGGCACUCAUAUACUACAAAUGUUACGCGCAUGCUCUGAUAGAAGAGAUUAAUUAUUAUAUAAAAAAUUUAAUAAUGAGAUUUACUAAACUAAUUAUAUUUCGCUUUUGAUGCAAAUCUUUCACAUGUAUAAUACAAUUGCACUGUUUCCAAUUACAUACAUUGUUUUAAGUGAUAAAAGUAAGGCAAAAGUGAGAUGAAUCUAAACUGACGUCGUGUUUGCAGCGUUGACAGUCAUUCAUCAAAACGCGCGCACGCGCAUUUGGUUCAUAGUACACGAAUUGUGGAAACGAGAGGUUGAUAUAUAUCUGCAUCGUGGUAUUGUCACUCAUAUUUCAGCUUGACUAGCAAUAUAGUAGUAUUACAUAUAUGGUUGCGCUCAAGGUUAAGGUGACCAGAUGUUUCGCAACUAGAUGCGAGACAUGCGUUGAAAAGCAAAAAAUAGCUUUUCCCAAUUGUGCGUCUAUCUUUAAAUGUGAAAGUUAAAAGUUUAUUUAUAUAAUCUUAUUAAUAUUAAAUUUAUACAUAUUUUAAUAUCUUUUGCUUUUAUCCUUAAAUAAACAUAAAACCAAUUUUAACAUUUAAUUUAACAUAAAAUUUUCAGUGUUUUUAAUUAAUACAGUCUUUAUAAAGAAUUACUAUGUGUCUCAUACAAUGCACAUUUAUACAUAUAACUAGCUAUUAACUCUGUAUAUAAAUAUAACUUUCCAUAUAAAUAAGACUAAUAUAUAAAUAACAAUAAUAUUAUUUAUACGUAUUUAUACUUAUUUUGUAGCAGAAUGAAUUCUUCUCAAUAAAUCUUUAUUAUUUGAAAUAUUUUUAUAAAAUUCGUAGCAUAAAUUGGAAAAAUUGCACUUUACUAGUAAUACUGCUUUUAAUGUUUCUACGUUCAGCUGCAUUUUUUCUGAGAUCCAAAACUGAUUUAUUCCGGAGAACACUCCUUCCGUUGCAGCAUUGGUACCUGACAAGCAUAAUGCAAAUUCUGUUAUUUUCUUUAUGUCAGGGUUGCAGGAUUAGUAAUUAAACGAACCACAAUUCAAAAUUCCGAAAGGGCUUGUGAAUUAAAAGUAAGUUUAAUUCAUAAUUCUGAAAAGGCUUAUGAAUUAAAAGUGAGUUUAAUUUAUAUAGUUUUAAAAAGACUUAUUAAUUAAAAGUGAGUUUAAUUCACAAUUCCGAAAGGGCUUGUGAAUUAAGACUGAGUUUAAUUCAUGAUUCCGAAAGAGCUUGUGAAUUUAAUUUUAAAUAAAUCCAGAUGAUUGGAUUGAAAAACAAUGAACUAAUUCACGGAUGAUUUAAGUCCCGUGAGAGGAAUGAAUUCAUAUUUAUGAAUUUUUAUUAUUAAUGAAUAACUUUUAUUCACCAUAUGUUCUUGAAAAAUAAAUAUAAUAAAUAUUUUAUUUAAAAAUAGCAAUUUUUUUAGCCAACUGCAAUACAUUACCAUCCCUUAUAAAUAUAUUGUUAAUAUAAAUAAAUAGCACUCCGAAAAAUGGCGGAAGAGAGUGGAUGGAAGGGAGGGCUACUCUCGGAGUUUUGUGGUAAUCAUGGAAUGAUAUGGAGUGGAAGAGAGAGAGGAGAGUGUGAUGAAGAGGAAGCCGAAGUGAAAAGGAAAUCCGGGUAUUGGAGGAAGGUGAGCGGAGAAGGUAGAAAAGGUAUAAUAAGAGAUAUAUAGAAGAUGGGAGAUGUCGAAGUGGUAUGCAUGAGAGGUAGUUCGGUGCGCAUGUCCGGGAGAAUGAAAAGUCGAUCCGAAAGAGGGCAUGGUGGAGCGAGAUCUCAAUAUAUCGAUAUAGGCACAGGAGGAAAGUGAUUGGUGAAGAGAGCGAUAAAGAGAAAUGGAUCGAAGUAUCGAGCAUUGAGAUCGAGGAAGGAGAAGUGCCGCAUAGUGACAGGAUUAAACAAUGGUAGUUAAGAAGGAAGCAAGUGCAAGAGAUGGAAAUAGUGAAAAAAGAGAAGAGAGAAAUAAAGAGAAGGAAGUUGGCGAUUAGAUAAUGACAAGUGGAGAGUUGAAGGAGAUAAAGGAGGAGUUGAGAGGGAUUAGGGAGUGUUUAUUGGAGAUGACAAGGUUAUGGAAAAUGUGGCAGGAAGGAAAAGGAGGCAGAGGAAAAGAUAGAGAGAGAAGAGAGUGGAAAGAGAACGAUAAGGAGGAGAGGGAAGUGCAAGAGGAACGGAAGAUAGGACGCGAAGAGAAGAAGGAGAUAAGAGACAAGAGGAGAGAGAACGUGGACGAGCACGGGGAAAGAAGGAAGACGAAGACAGGAGAAAGGGAAGCUGACGACGAGGAAGAGAGCAGGAGGAAGCAAGAAAUGAAUGAGAAGAAGGAGAAGGGAGAAGAAGUGGAGGAGAAGAGUUCAAAGGAAGGUAAAAAGAUGGAAAAUAGAAGGCGAACAGAAGAGACAGAGAGAGUAGAAGAGCUAGAGGAGGAAAGAGUAAAAAGAUGGACGA